CCUACGGGUGGCCGCAGUGAGGAAUAUUGGUCAAUGGACGCAAGUCUGAACCAGCCAUGCCGCGUGCAGGACGACGGCUCUCUGAGUUGUAAACUGCUUUUGUACGAGGAUCAACGCACAUACGCGUAUCUGUCUGAAAGUAUCGUACGACUAAGGAUCGGCUAACUCCGUGCCAGCAGCCGCGGUCAUCCGGAGGAUUCAAGCUUUCUCCGGAUUUAUUGGGGUUAAAGGUUGCGUAGGCGGUCGGAUAAGUUAGAGGUGAAAUCCCGAGGCUCAACUUCGGAAGUGACUCUGAUACUGUUCGGCUAGAGAGUAGUUGCGGUAGGCGGAAUGUAUGGUGUAGCGGUGAAAUGCUUAGAGAUCAUACAGAACACCGAUUGCGAAGGCAGCUUACCAAGCUACUUCUGACGUUGAGGCACGAAAGCGUGGGGAGCAAACAGGAUUAGAUACCCCUGUAGUC
rnacentral:rRNA from 1 species